UACGUAGGGACCAAGCGUUGUUCGGAUUUACUGGGCGUAAAGGGCGCGUAGGCGGCUUAACAAGUCACUUGUGAAAUCUCCGGGCUUAACUCGGAACGGCCAAGUGAAACUGUCAAGCUAGAGUGCAGAAGGGGCAAUCGGAAUUCUUGGUGUAGCGGUGAAAUGCGUAGAUAUCAAGAGGAACACCUGAGGUGAAGACGGGUUGCUGGGCUGACACUGACGCUGAGACGCGAAAGCGUGGGGAGCAAACAGG
rnacentral:rRNA from 1 species